UAGGGAAUCUUCGGCAAUGGACGAAAGUCUGACCGAGCAACGCCGCGUGAGUGAAGAAGGUUUUCGGAUCGUAAAACUCUGUUGUUAGAGAAGAACAAGGACGUUAGUAACUGAACGUCCCCUGACGGUAUCUAACCAGAAAGCCACGGCUAACUACGUGCCAGCAGCCGCGGUAAUACGUAGGUGGCAAGCGUUGUCCGGAUUUAUUGGGCGUAAAGCGAGCGCAGGCGGUUUCUUAAGUCUGAUGUGAAAGCCCCCGGCUCAACCGGGGAGGGUGCUUGGAAACUGGGAGACUUGCGUGCAGAAGAGGAUAUUGUAAUUCCAUGUGUAGCGGUGAACUGCGUAGAUAUAUGGAGGCAAACCAGUGGCGAAGGCAGCUCUCUGGUCUGUAACUGACGCUGAGGUUCGAAAGCGUGGGGUUCACACAGG
rnacentral:rRNA from 1 species